AUUGAACGCUGGCGGAAUGCUUUACACAUGCAAGUCGAACGGUAGAGGGGGCAACCCCUCGAGAGUGGCGAACGGGUGAGUAAUAUAUCGGAACGUGCCCAGUCGUGGGGGAUAACGUAGCGAAAGUUACGCUAAUACCGCAUACGACCUACGGAAGAAAGCGGGGGAUCGCAAGACCUCGCGCGAUUGGAGCGGCCGAUAUCAGAUUAGGUAGUUGGUGGGGUAAAGGCUCACCAAGCUAACGAGCUGUAGCUGGCCUGAGAGGACGACCAGCCACACUGGAACUGAGACACGGUCCAGACUCCUACGGGAGGCAGCAGUGGGGAAUUUUGGACAAUGGACGCAAGUCUGAUCCAGCCAUUCCGCGUGCAGGAUGAAGGCCCUCGGGUUGUAAACUGCUUUUGUACGGAACGAAAAGGUUUCCAUUAAUACUGGGAGCUCAUGACGGUACCGUAAGAAUAAGCACCGGCUAACUACGUGCCAGCAGCCGCCGCGG
rnacentral:rRNA from 1 species